GCAAGAACAAUGAUUUUGGAGCCCCCCAAAAUAGAGGGUGGCCCCAAGCCUCUGUUAAUGUGACCCAGGGCCCUAGCGCCUCUUUAGAGGCUAUAUCUCUGGCUUAUGCAUCCAAGCUUUCAUACAAUGGAAACUUCCGAGUCUUUUUAUGACCCACAGGUGCCUAGCUUCAAAUCCCAGCUCUACCAGCCCUCUGGGACUGUUGUGAGUCAUUUAUCCUCUUACACAGGAGGAUAAUAGUCCUUCUACCUCCUAGGGCACUCUGGAAACACUUGGCACAGAGCUGGGCACAUAGCGAGCCACACAUGAAAGUUGGUACUAUUAUUAUUAUUGCCCUAUUUUUCCCGGCUAUGUUGGAGACCUUGGAAUUUUCACUAAGGGUGACUAAUUUAUCCUCUAAACUGGGACAAUGUUAAGCAUGAAAGUGGUUGCACGGAAUUACUGCCUCAUGGGGAGACAGCCUCCCAGGUGGCCCCACUUCCUGAUGUUCUUAUCCUCAUGUGUUCUGCAUGGAAGAGGGCUGCCUGCAAACAAUAAGACAUUGUGCAAAGGGCAGGGUGUGACUUCCCCCACACAAGACACUAGCUCCAGCUCGCUCUCUCUGGGACACUUGUAGGACACUCUGUGGCAAGACCGGUAAUAGGGACUUGAGGGCCCCUGCUGUUGACCAGGGUUAACACACCAGUCACACUUGCCAACUUGCAAGCAGAACCUCCAGCCCUCUUCAAGCCUUCUAUGACAUCCUGACUGCAGUCUCAUGGGAGACCCCCAAACCAGAACCACCUAUCCAGCCGCCGCUGAACUCCUGGCCCACAGAAACUGGCUCUGGGAUGGCAGCUCCCUCAGCACCUAGAUCUGUGCCUACCUGGCCCUCCGCAGGGACUCAGGAACCUGAGGGUGAGCUUUGCUGGUCUCGGAAAAUGACUCCAAAUGUGCAAUUUGUUCCCAGGAACGGGGGUGUGUGAGUGAAAUGGCUCCUGGUCGCAGCGAGCAAACUCCAGAAUCUUCUUGGCCUCAUCCACACAUAUGACAUUGGAAGCCUCCAGCUCGAGCUCAAGACUUUAGGAGCCCUCCUCUCAGGGGGGCGGAGCCUCAAGUGCGACCACUUCAGAGCACCCACUCUCGGAGGUGGGCCCACCGUGGUUCAGUGGAGAUGCCACCGCCACCAUGAAGCCCUCCUAUAUUCCCCCCAGGAUACCGAGCCCUCAGCAGGGUUAACCCCUCCCUGCCCAGGCUCCUCUGCUGACUGCUGGACUCAGUCGAUGGUACCUGGUUGGGCUGGGCUUCUGUUCAGAUGAAUGUAAAGCAAGUGAAGCUGAAGCUUUGGGGACCCUCACUGGCACAACCCCCUUCCAAAGCCAGUCCCUAAUUUUGUAUUCAUGAUCCCCUCAAAUUGUAUACACUUGGGUCCCACAGAGUUGGGUCCACUCCCGUUUUCAUCCCCACCCAGCUUGAGGUCAGAGCCUCUCUCCUGAACAGUUGUGGUAGGCAAUUUCUCCUCCCCUUCCACCUCCCCUAGGCCCCGGUUGGUCUGGCACCUGGGCCAGAUGGACCCAGAGACAAGGUUUCUCCAUCCACCUGCCCCACUUGGGGUCUCUGUGACCUCUGCUCUCCCCUCUUGGGUGACCAGCCCAGGCCUGCUCUCUGGCUCCCAUGUCACUCAUCUGAAACAAAAUUGGACUUCCUCUCUCCCUUUCUUCCCUCCCCCUCUUCCAUACCUGCCCGAGGGGCCUCCCAGGAACGCUGUGGGUCCUUAGUUUGCAAACCCCCAGCUCACAGACCUAGGAGAGGCCUGGGUUCGAAUCCUAGCCCCAUGCCUGGCAGCUGUGUGCCCAGGGGCAUCACCCACUCUUCAUCCUUAGGAGAAGUGCCUUCAAGUCCCUGGCACACGGGGGACUCAGGAAAGGCCCGAGGAUGGCCUUCUGAGACCCUCACACAGGCAGGUCCCUUGGCGGGCAGGGGGUUUCCCCCAGAUGGGGGCCAAGCCCUCCCGCUCCCACCCAGGCCCUGCAGACUCCCUCCCAGCAGCCACUCGGCUUAUCCCGUGACUCUUAUACCUGCUGGUUCAGCAGACAGACAGCCCGAGCCUUCCCAAGUUCUCUCUGUGGGCUCCACCCGGAGCCUUCUUGCCAGAAUCCUCUUUCACUUCCUGAUUUUGGGGUCAAUGACAUCUCAGGAUUUCUGCCAUUCGGGCUUUUCUCGGAAGCAAAUCUGGGCUCUGGCUCCAUCGUGAGUCUUGGGCAAGACGGGAAGUUAUGAGGGGGAGAAGGUAGGUGCGGAGCAGCAGGGGGAGUCAGGGGAAGCCGAGGCGAGGGAAAGACUGCUUUUCCCACACCUGUGACUGCCUUGAGCUGGAGGGCUGGUGAGGAUCACAAAGUCCCCUGCGUGGCCACAGGGAAGAGCACAGUGGAGCUCUGUCAGCCCCCUAACUUCCUGGCUGUGCAACCCCGGGCCAGUCACCUAAGCCUCUCAGGGCCCCAGUUUCCCCAGCUGGAAACUGGUGACUAAGGAAGGUGCAAACCCAUGCAUCCCGCUCCUCAUGUGCCAGGCUUCGCUGGUAGACUCCUCUUGCAACAACGCUAGGAGGCGAGUGUGUUUAUGGUACACGAAUCCUGGGCUGCAAGAGGAGUAGGGAGGGCGCUGCUGGCAGGCGCCCUGGAUGGUGUCUAGUGAAGGGCAAGCCCUCAGGAGGUCCUGGCUCUCAUCGUUUCUCAGCAAUGUGAAUUCCAAAGAGCUGGUCUGUUUAGCCAAACCUCUGGGAGCAGGUGGAGUCAGGCAACGAUUGCUGAGCAGCUCCUGUGUUCCAGGCCUGGAAAUGCGACACAGGCCUGGAGCUGAGAGAUCGCAGCGGAGGCCUCCACUUCCCUUUUGCUGCCUUGCUGGAGCCAGGCGGCCUGGCUGGCCAGAGAAAGGCCUGAAUGGGGUGGGUGGUGAGGCCUGGCUGUUCGGCGCGCCUCUAGCGCGGUCAUCUGGUUUCCAGGCUCCUCUGAGUGCAUCCACAAGUUGGCUGUGUCCAUGUGACGGUGUGAAUCGCCUCACCGACUCUUAACCUCCCUCAUCAAAUGCCUCCCUCGACAGACCUCUGGACCUGGCUUUGCAGUGUUACUGUUGAGAGCAGGGUCAAGAGCUUAGCUCUCCCUCACCAGCUGGGUGACCCUGGACUCGUCUCCUAACUUCUCUGGGCUGUGGGUCAUCCCUUGUAAAGUGGAGAUAAAGCCGCUUUGCAGGCGAUGUGCGUUUUUAAGCCGUGCCUGGCGUCUAGUCAGCUCUGCUCCAUUGUCCU